CCUACGGGUGGCAGCAGUGAGGAAUAUUGGUCAAUGGCCGGAAGGCUGAACCAGCCAAGCCGCGUGAAGGACGAAGGUGCCAAGCAUUGUAAACUUCUUUUGUCAAGGGACAAAAUCAGGCUCGAGAGCCUGACCGAGGGUACUUGAAGAAAAAGCAUCGGCUAACUCCGUGCCAGCAGCCGCGGUAAUACGGAGGAUGCGAGCGUUAUCCGGAUUUAUUGGGUUUAAAGGGUGCGUAGGCGGGCUGUUAAGUCAGCGGUAAAAGCCCGGGGCUCAACCCCGGCGAGCCGUUGAAACUGGCUGUCUUGAGAUGUCGAGAGGUAUGCGGAAUGCGCAGUGUAGCGGUGAAAUGCAUAGAUAUCACGCAGAACUCCGAUUGCGAAGGCAGCAUACCGGCGCUCAACUGACGCUCAUGCACGAAAGUGUGGGUAUCGAACAGGAUUAGAUACCCUUGUAGUC
rnacentral:rRNA from 1 species